rnacentral:lncRNA from 1 species
UUUAGCAAGCACGAAGCACAUUUUACUUUUAUUCUUGAGAGGCCGGCACUGUUGUGCACAUGGAAAGCUAGGCUCAAACAGAAAGCCUUGGUAGUCAGUAACUUUUGCACUGCACUGCCUCAUCCUGCUUGUCUCACCCUACAGCUCCCGCCACACAAGGCAAUGAUCACUAUAUAUAUCAUCAGCAGAUACAGGAAAUCCUGUUCAUAUCAGUUGAUCCUUAUGGAAGGAAAUAGUCUUAAUUUUCAAUGUGUUGACUCCUAUAGAUGUGAUCUUGCUGUAUAGCCUUGACUAGUGUAGAACUUGUGCACCAUGCUGACCUUGUGGCAAUCCUGUUCCCUCUCUUCUGAGUGCAGAGAUUACAGGAAUGCACCGCCAUAUCCACUGAAAUCAUUCCUUUUUAUUUGUAAAACAUUGUUUUGUAUGUGUAAGAAUGUGCACCAUGGUUACAGGUGCCCACAGAAGCCAGAGGAAGGUGACAGAUCUCCUGGAGUCCUAGAGGGUAGUGAACAACUGCCCUCUGAGCGGACACUCUACACCUCUGCUCCCUCUCCAGUCCUCCCCAACCCCCAUUCUUUUUGUUUUUCUGCUGGGAAUUGGACCUAGGGCCACAUGCAUGCUUGCACAGCAUUCUACCAAUGAGCUGUAUUCUCCUUGGCCCUCACUUUUGAGAUAUGCCACCUGCUCAGGCUAGCCUAGAACCCACUGAUCUUCCUGCUUCAGCUCAAAUGCUAGACCUACAAGCAUGAACCACCACACCCAGCUCUGAUGCAUUCCCUGUAGAACCAUAGCUUUUCACUGUGGCUUCUAACAGCAGCAGUGAAUGAGCUCCUCUCUCACCUUUGCGGAAGGAUUCCAGCCCUCACUCUGCCUCCUCUGCAGAAACACUGUGCCCCAGUAUUGGCGAAGCUGCGCCCUCCACCUGACAAUCAGGAUGCCUACCGGGGAGAAUUUGGGUCCCUUGGGCCCCUUCUCUGCUCCCAUGUGGUGAAGGCCAGGGCCCAGGCCGCUCUUCAAGCUCAGCAGGUCAACAGGACCACACUCACCAUCACACAGGUCAGCUGUGAGGGAGGAGGCUGACAGGAAACAUACAGGGACUUGCCACAGACAGCAGUCUCAGGGAACUGGACCCCACUCCUACCCCCAGUGUUAACAUUUUCUUCCUGUGUCUCUUCAUAGCCUCGGCCCACACUGACCCUCUCACAGGCCCCUCAGCCAGGCCCUCGUACCCCUGGCUUAUUGAAGGUCCCUGGCUCUAUUGCCUUGCCUGUCCAGACACUGGUGUCUGCAAGAGCUGCUGCCCCUCCUCAGCCUUCUCCUCCUCCAACGAAGUUUAUUGUAAUGUCCUCAUCUUCCAGUGCCUCAUCAACCCAGCAGGUAUGUAUAGCCAGGAUGUGAGGAGCACCCUGGGGAAACCUCCAAGUUGUGACCUAAUCCUUUCAGGCUCAAACUCAUACCGUACUAGAGCCACUUAUCAGGAUCUUGGAGGCCUCGAGCUAGCAGCAAUCUUGACCAUGCAUUCACUGGGGACUACA